rnacentral:rRNA from 1 species
GACAGAGGUGCCGAGCGUUAGGCGGAAUCACUGGGCUUAAAGCGUGUGUAGGCGGGUCCGUAAGUACCUUGUGAAAUCCCACGGCUCAACCGUGGAACUGCUGUGUAUACUGCGGGUCUUGAGCCACUUAGGGGCAAGCGGAACAAACGGUGGAGCGGUGAAAUGCGUAGAUAUCGUUUGGAACGCCAAUGGUGAAAACAGCUUGCUGGGAGUGUGCUGACGCUGAGACACGAAAGCCAGGGGAGCAAACGGG